CACGUAGGCGGAUUUGUAAGUCAGGGGUGAAAUCCCGGGGCUCAACCUCGGAACUGCCUUUGAUACUGCGAAUCUCGAGUCCGAUAGAGGUGGGUGGAAUUCCUAGUGUAGAGGUGAAAUUCGUAGAUAUUAGGAAGAACACCGGUGGCGAAGGCGGCCCACUGGAUCGGUACUGACGCUGAGGUGCGAAAGCGUGGGGAGCAAACA
rnacentral:rRNA from 1 species